AGAAAAAAGAUAUCCAUCCAGCGCCGUCUUCGUCAAAUGAAACACGAAGUUUCCUAAAUGCAACUACGACAGAGCCUGCAAGGAUUGAAAUUAAUUUAACAGACAACAAAAAAGAAAGAGAAAAUCCGGCACAAGUUAGGAGUCGAAAGAAAAUCUCAGAUCUUGAAUCACAACGUGCAUCCUUGAUAGUCGUACGUGAUUCUGGUUUAUCUACCGUAACAAAGGAACAAAUAAACACUGUGAAAGAAACCAUAAGAAAAGAAAAAACAAAAUUGGACAGAUUGAUUCGUGAAUCAGCUCGUCAAAGAAAACGAAGACAAAAACUUAAAGAGAGCAUCGAAACUGUGUGUCAGAACAUCCCUGAAGCAUCAAGUGCUUUGA
rnacentral:lncRNA from 1 species